GUAGUUUUAAACGGAAGUUAAUUUUGUCAGCGUGGAGGCUGGUGAGUCCUGUGUGAAUGCCAGGCUCGGUAUAAUCUACAUAUGGUGAAAUGGACAGAUCUUAUAUCCAUAAGAUAUUCCUGAUGAGUUUUGGCAAAUGUGCAACCAACACCCUAAUCAAGAUCUACAGCAGCAUUGUCCCACUGAAACAUAGUGUGAGCCACACAGCAUCGUAUUAACCAGAAGCUGCAUUUACCUGGACCAUACAUCAGCCCGAGCCUGUCUCCAGUGAAGAGUUGGGUCGUGCUGGAGGGACCAUUCAUCACACCUGCCCAGCUUCUGGAGGCUCUCCUGGGCUUUGGUGUCUUAGGCCAGAGCUGUCACAAACAUCCCACAUUCACCUUGUCCCUGUGAGGGGAGGGAGCUCCAAGUACUCUCUGGCCUUGAGAAAUGGCCCCUGAUAUUCCAUUGC
rnacentral:lncRNA from 1 species